UUAACUUUGGUAAUUAUUCAUCACUUCAAUUAGCAGAUCAUCUUCUAUAUAAAAAUCCAUCCUACAUUCAUUUGUUCCAUCAAACAUGGAGAUUAACAUGGAUGACAAACUAUCCAAAACUCAUAUCGAGCUUGUAACUGAGGCAUCCUUUCCACCACCACCACAAUUCAGCUCUCUGAAGAUCAUUAAAAACACCUUUAUUUCAAUCUUGGCAAGGUUUCAUGCCGGAUAUUUUAGGAUAAGCAUGUCUCUUUGCAGCCAAGCCCUGCUGUGGAAAAUCCUUAGAGAUCAAUCAGCAGAAGAUGCACAUGCUUUUCGUCGUGUGUUUCAAAUGCUACCCUCCACAGCUUUUCUUCUACUUUGGUCAAUAGCUCUUUUCACAGUAACCUCACUCUCUCUUCUUUACAUACUUAGAUGUUUGGUUCACUUUGAGAUGGUGAAGGGUGAAUUCCUCCACCAUGUAGGAGUGAACUAUCUCUUUGCUCCUUGGAUUUCUUGGCUUCUUUUGCUUCAAUCAUCUCCCUUUUUCACCCCAAAAACUAUAUACUACCUUGUACUAUGGUGGGCUUUUGUGGUUCCAAUGUUGGUUCUUGAUGUCAAAAUCUACGGCCAGUGGUUUACCAAAGGAAAGAGGUCUUUAUCAACAGCCGCGAAUCCGACAAGUCAGCUAUCGGUGAUAGGGAACUUGGUGGGAGCCAGGGCGGCAGCCCAAAUGGGAUGGAAAGAGACAUGUAUUUGCAUGUUUUCUUUGGGCAUGGCACAUUAUCUUGUGCUUUUUGUCACGUUAUAUCAAAGAUUAUCUGUGGGAAAUUGCCUACCAACAGUGUUAAGCCCAGUUUUCUUCUUAUUCAUUGCCGCUCCCAGCAUGGCAAGUUUGGCUUGGGACUCAAUUUCUGGAUGCUUUGAUAACUUGGCAAAGAUGCUUUUCUUUCUCUCUCUUUUCCUCUUCUUAUCCCUGAUUUCAAGGCCGACCCUGUUCAAGAAAUCCACAAGAAAGUUCAACGUAGCAUGUUGGGCAUAUUCUUUCCCAAUGACAGUCCUGGCAUUGGCUUCAGCUGAUUAUGCACAGGAGGUGAAUGGUGCCAUUGCACAUGGGGUAAUGCUAGUGUUAUCUUCGCUCUCAGUUCUGGUAACUCUAGGUUUGAUGGUGUUCACUGCACUUAAUACUAGCAGGCUUUUCGUACCCAACGAUCCUGUUUUAAGUCCUAGCAUUAGUAAUCCUGAUGAGGCCACAUGAUUGAAUAGAAGUUUAUGAUUUCAAAUUUCCAAUUGUAAAUACGAUAUUAUAAUAGAAUGUUCAGGAAGGAAAAAUGAG
rnacentral:misc_RNA from 1 species